GCCCUACCCACAUAUAAUCAGUUACAGAGUCCGCCUAUGUGGGAGUAACAACAGUGAGCACGGGACCCGUUCCUCCACACACCAAGAAUGCAGCGAACUGCCCUUCAGGUAGAUCCAUGCUUCUCUUCCAAUUCCGUGUUGUAUCUCCCAAAGCAUUUGACGAGUCCUCUUCAGUGUAAGGCCAAAGUUCGUGGGUGCUGUGGAGAAGAUCACUUGGCAACUGCUCUGCUUGACAGCCGGCGGCGCUCCCUGUCCCUCCGUCCCCUCGCUCCGUCCCUCAGCACCGCGCCCGCCGGGUGACAUUUCC
rnacentral:lncRNA from 1 species